CCUAUCAAUUGAUUAGUUAAUGGCGAUUAACUUAUUUUAUUUUAUUUUAUUUAUAAUAUUCUCUUAUAUAAUUUAAUUAUCUAAAUUUAUUUUUGUAGACAAAAAUUGCGCCUUUUGAAAAUGGGGUCCUAGAUGCUCACCUUAACUAUGCUCAGGGUCACCUCUAACCACCACUUUUCUCCCUUUUUCCUUUCUCUUUUUUAUUCUUUGAGUCUAACUUUUGAUAUGCAAGUUUCACACAAAAAGGUAAACAAUUGCAAAUUGAUUCGUGACAACGAGCAAGAGUGUGGAGCAUGACACGUAGUGAGUAACACGAAACGACACGACACAGAGGUGCACAAGUGUGAGACAUGACACCAAAAUGAUGCAACGGAGGAGAAACCUAGCUGAGUACUGCAAUGCUACAACAAAGGUUCACAACAAGCCUUUAAAUGGGAGAAACCAACACUUAAGGGAUUUGUCAAAUAAGUCAUUUAGAUGUGUUAAAGAAUGGCACACAUAUUUUGUUAAUGGGUACAAGUUUCAAACUUAUGCAUGGUGCAAGGAGAAAAAAACCAUUAAUAGUGGAGUUUAUGUAAAGGGCAUUACAGAAGGAGGUGAAGAUGAUUUCUAUGGGGUCAUUCAACACAUAUGAACUUCAAUACAAUGCUUUAAGUUAUCAUAAGGAAGUGGUUGUAUUUUAUUGUGAUUGGUUUGAUCUGUCAAGAAUAGGUACAAGAGUGGAUCCAAAAUAUAAUAUAGUGGAUAUUCGGAUUGAUGCAAGAUAUAAAGAGGUUGAUCCAUUUAUCAUUGCAUAUAAUGUAAGGCAAGUGUAUUAUGUCCCAUAUCCAACAACAUGAAUGAAUAAACAUGGUUGGUUUGUUGUAAUCAAAACAAAGCCAAGGGGUCGUAUAGAAUUUGAUGAAGUGGCUUACCAGGUAGAUGAAAUGACACAUACUAAUGAAGUCAUUGAAGUUGAAGGUAUUUUAGGAUUACAGGAUGUAGAAGGUGAUCUUGAAGAAGUUGAUGAGCUUGAAGAACCCCUACAACAUGUUGAAGUACAAGAGGAUGAGGAGGAAGAAGAAGAGGAGUCAAAUGAAGGGGAAUUAGAAGAAGACUUUGAUGUAUAUAGCUCUGAAGAGGAUUAGGCAAUAAGGAUAAAUGUCUAAGGACAAUGAUUAUAUUGGUUUUAUCCCUCUAUUUAGUUCUCUAUUUUUAUGAUGCAUUUGAAUCACUUAAUCAUAAUAUUAUUUAUACA